rnacentral:rRNA from 1 species
AGUGCAUAUGGUGGAUGCCUUGGCGAUCACAGGCGAUGAAGGACGUAGUAGCCUGCGAAAAGCUGCGGGGAGCUGGCAAACAAGCUUUGAUCCGCAGAUGUCCGAAUGGGGAAACCCACUCCGUAAGGAGUAUCCCUGACUGAAUACAUAGGUCAGUGGAAGCGAACCGGGUGAACUGAAACAUCUCAGUAGCUCGAGGAAAAGAAAUCAACCGAGAUUCCGAAAGUAGUGGCGAGCGAAAUCGGAAAAGCCUUUACGUUUUAGCAUUCAGGAUAGUCGAACGGAAUGGAAAGUCCGGCCGUAGCAGGUGAUAGCCCUGUAGACGAAAUUUUGAAUGUGGAACUAAGCGUAAGAAAAGUAGGGCGGGACACGUGAAAUCCUGUUUGAAGAUGGGGGGACCAUCCUCCAAGGCUAAAUACUCGUGAUCGACCGAUAGUGAACCAGUACCGUGAGGGAAAGGCGAAAAGAACCCCGGAAGGGGAGUGAAAUAGAUCCUGAAACCGUAUGCAUACAAACAGUAGGAGCCUCCUUGUGGGGUGACUGCGUACCUUUUGUAUAAUGGGUCAGCGACUUACAUUCAGUGGCGAGGUUAACCGAAUAGGGAAGCCGUAGCGAAAGCGAGUCCGAAUAGGGCGAUUCAGUCGCUGGGUGUAGACCCGAAACCAGAUGAUCUAUCCAUGGCCAGGUUGAAGGCACGGUAACACGUGCUGGAGGACCGAACCCACUAAUGUUGAAAAAUUAGGGGAUGAGCUGUGGAUAGGGGUGAAAGGCUAAACAAAUCUGGAAAUAGCUGGUUCUCUCCGAAAACUAUUUAGGUAGUGCCUCAAGUAUUACUGCGGGGGGUAGAGCACUGUUAUAGCUAGGGGGUCAUGGCGACUUACCAAACUAUGGCAAACUCCGAAUACCCGCAAGUACAGCUUGGGAGACAGAGCACCGGGUGCUAACGUCCGGACUCAAGAGGGAAACAACCCAGACCGCCAGCUAAGGUCCCAAAUUAUCGCUAAGUGGGAAACGAAGUGGGAAGGCAUAGACAGUCAGGAGGUUGGCUUAGAAGCAGCCAUCCUUUAAAGAAAGCGUAAUAGCUCACUGAUCGAGUCGUCCUGCGCGGAAGAUGUAACGGGGCUAAGCGAUAAACCGAAGCUGCGGGUGUGCACUUUGUGCACGCGGUAGGAGAGCGUUCUGUAAGCCUGCGAAGGUGGCUUGUAAAGGCUGCUGGAGGUAUCAGAAGUGCGAAUGCUGACAUGAGUAGCGAUAAAGGGGGUGAAAAGCCCCCUCGCCGUAAGUCCAAGGUUUCCUGCGCAACGUUCAUCGGCGCAGGGUGAGUCGGCCCCUAAGGCGAGGCAGAGAUGCGUAGCUGAUGGGAAGCUGGUUAAUAUUCCAGCACCGUCGUACAGUGCGAUGGGGGGACGGAUUGCGGAAGAUCAUCAGGGUGUUGGAUGUCCCUGUUGCUGCAUCGAAGAUGGCGCUUAGGCAAAUCCGGGCGCGUAAAUCAAGGGUGUGGCACGAGCGAGCAUUGCUUGCGAAGUGAUUGGAAGUGGUUCCAAGAAAAGCCUCUAAGCUUCAGCUGUACGAGACCGUACCGCAAACCGACACAGGUGGACGGGAUGAAUAUUCCAAGGCGCUUGAGAGAACUCAGGAGAAGGAACUCGGCAAAUUGAUACCGUAACUUCGGGAGAAGGUAUACCCCGGUAGUGUGAAGCGCCUGCGCGCUUAGCAUGAUGGGGUCGCAGAGAAUCGGUGGCUGCGACUGUUUAUUAAAAACACAGCACUCUGCAAAGACGAAAGUCGACGUAUAGGGUGUGACGCCUGCCCGGUGCCGGAAGGUUAAGUGAUGGGGUGCAAGCUCUUGAUCGAAGCCCCGGUAAACGGCGGCCGUAACUAUAACGGUCCUAAGGUAGCGAAAUUCCUUGUCGGGUAAGUUCCGACCUGCACGAAUGGCGUAACGAUGGCCACACUGUCUCCUCCUGAGACUCAGCGAAGUUGAAGUGUUUGUGAUGAUGCAAUCUACCCGCGGCUAGACGGAAAGACCCCAUGAACCUUUACUGUAGCUUUGCAUUGAUCUGUGAACCGGCCUGUGUAGGAUAGGUGGGAGGCUUUGAAGCGUAGUCGCUAGAUUACGUGGAGCCAUCCUUGAAAUACCACCCUGGUUUG